UACGUAGGGUGCGAGCGUUAAUCGGAAUUACUGGGCGUAAAGGGUGCGCAGGCGGCCGCGCAAGUCGAGUGUGAAAUCCCCGGGCUCAACCUGGGAACUGCAUCUGUGACUGCAUUGCUGGAGUGCGGCAGAGGGGGAUGGAAUUCCGCGUGUAGCAGUGAAAUGCGUAGAUAUGCGGAGGAACACCGAUGGCGAAGGCAAUCCCCUGGGCCUGCACUGACGCUCAUGCACGAAAGCGUGGGGAGCAAACAGG
rnacentral:rRNA from 1 species